rnacentral:rRNA from 1 species
GAUGAACGCUAGCGGCAGGCCUAACACAUGCAAGUCGAGGGGGAGGUUACUUUCGGGUGACUGAGACCGGCGUACGGGUGCGUAACGCGUAUACAAUCUGCCUUUCACUGGGGGAUAGCCCGAAGAAAUUUGGAUUAAUACCCCAUAGUAUAUAGGGACGGCAUCGUUUUUAUAUUAAAGCUACGGUGGUGAAAGAUGAGUAUGCGUUCUAUUAGCUAGUUGGAGAGGUAACGGCUCCCCAAGGCGAUGAUAGAUAGGGGUUCUGAGAGGGAUGUCCCCCACACUGGUACUGAGAUACGGACCAGACUCCUACGGGAGGCAGCAGUGAGGAAUAUUGGACAAUGGUCGGAAGACUGAUCCAGCCAUGCCGCGUGCAGGAUGACGGCCUUAUGGGUUGUAAACUGCUUUUGUAAGGGAAGAAUAAGGGCUACGCGUAGUUUGAUGACGGUACCUUACGAAUAAGCAUCGGCUAACUCCGUGCCAGCAGCCGCGGUAAUACGGAGGAUGCGAGCGUUAUCCGGAAUCAUUGGGUUUAAAGGGUCUGUGGGCGGGCUGGUAAGUCAGAGGUGAAAGCGCUUAGCUCAACUAAGCAACUGCCUUUGAAACUGUUGGUCUUGAAUGGUUGUGAAGUAGUUGGAAUGUGUAGUGUAGCGGUGAAAUGCUUAGAUAUUACACAGAACACCGAUUGCGAAGGCAUAUUACUAACAAUUAAUUGACGCUGAUGGACGAAAGCGUGGGGGAGCGAACAG